rnacentral:rRNA from 1 species
UUAUCCGGAUUUACUGGGCGUAAAGGGUGCGUAGGCGGUCUUUUAAGUCAGGAGUGAAAGGCUACGGCUCAACCGUAGUAAGCUCUUGAAACUGGAGGACUUGAGUGCAGGAGAGGAGAGUGGAAUUCCUAGUGUAGCGGUGAAAUGCGUAGAUAUUAGGAGGAACACCAGUAGCGAAGGCGGCUCUCUGGACUGUAACUGACGCUGAGGCACGAAAGCGUGGGGAGCAAACAGGAUUAGAUACCCUGGUAGUCCACGCCGUAAACGAUGAGUACUAGCUGUCGGAGGUUACCCCCUUCGGUGGCGCAGCUAACGCAUUAAGUACUCCGCCUGGGGAGUACGCUCGCAAGAGUGAAACUCAA